rnacentral:rRNA from 1 species
UACGUAGGGUGCAAACGUUGUUCGGAAUCACUGGGCAUAAAGAGCGCGUAGGCGGUCUGAUAAGUCCUGUGUGAAAGCCCCCGGCUCAACCGGGGAAUUGCAUAGGAUACUGUCGGGCUAGAGUACAGGAGGGGAGAGCGGAAUUCCUGGUGGAGCGGUGAAAUGCGUAGAUAUCAGGAGGAACGCCAGUGGCGAAAGCGGCUCUCUGGUCUGUUACUGACGCUGAGGUGCGAAAGCUAGGGGAGCAAACGGG